rnacentral:pre_miRNA from 1 species
AAUGUACUUCCUCUGUCUGGAAAUACUUGUCUUAAAAAUGGAUAAAUGUAGACUUAUUUUAGUUAUAGAUAUAUUUUAUUUAUUUAUUUUUAGGACAAGUAUUUCUGGACAGAGGGAGUAAAAA